GCUGGGCAUGGUGGCGCACGCCUGUAGUCCCAGCUACUUGGGAGGCUGAGGCAGGAGAAUCGCUUGAACCUGGGAGGCCGAGGUUGCAGUGAGCCAACAUCGCACCACUGCACUCCAGCCUGGGUGACAGAGCAAGACUCUGUCUCAA
rfam:Pan troglodytes isolate Yerkes chimp pedigree #C0471 (Clint) chromosome 7, whole genome shotgun sequence.